AUCUGUGUUAUUACCUCUGACUUAGGAAGAGGGUCCUUCCAAAUCAUGUUUUCUCAGCAGGGUAUAAUAGGUCUGCAAGUCUUUCCAUGGAAAGCUGUGAGUACUAAAAGCUAAGCUGUGAAGCAGAAACUCUUCACAAAGUGGGUGGUUUAUAUUUUUUGUGUUAUCUGGUAUAUCAAAUUGGCUGGAACCUGAAAUGGUACCCUUAUGAAAUGUACCAAGAAACUGGUUCCUCCAGCUACUGGCAAGUGUUAUACUAUGAUGGCGCAGUGGCUGGGUUGGCAGCUUCCCAGUGCUGCAGGAAUUCUAUCUGGUGACCUUCACAUCACAAGUGAGUAAAAUUUGUGCACAAGCUCCAGCCAGUCAAGGAUUACAUUUAAAACGAAUGGAUAACACUUGUAAGGGUUCUGAUGGAAGAGAUGUUAAACUCAAUAAAAUAGAAGUCUGUG